AUGUUUACCUGGCAGGGGAGAUACCAUGAUCAUGAAGGUGGUUUUCCCAGGGUGAGGCUCAUCCAUUGCACUACGGGUGUGCUGUGUUGACCCCGCCGAUUUCCCAAUGGGAGAAACUCUACUGCUGCAUAAUUUGUGGGGGGGGGGAGCGCGCCCUCUCCCU